rnacentral:rRNA from 1 species
UACGGGGGGAGCAAGCGUUGUUCGGAUUUACUGGGCGUAAAGGGCGCGUAGGCGGUCAGCACAAGUCAGUUGUGAAAUCUCCGGGCUUAACCCGGAAAGGUCAACUGAUACUGUGCGACUAGAGUGCGGAAGGGGCAACUGGAAUUCUCGGUGUAGCGGUGAAAUGCGUAGAUAUCGGAAGGAACGCCGGUGGCGAAAGCGACGUGCUGGACCUCUACUGACGCUGAGGCGCGAAAGCCAGGGGAGCAAACGGG